AGGAACCAAACAGAUGCGUUUGUUAUUGCCCUACGUCUCUCUACUUGGUUCUCCAACGGACCUCUUGCCUUUUCACUUCUUUAGUCACACCCAUUUCUGAAGCGAUUAUUACUGGAAGGAGAAAAAACAGAACAAACGAUCUCCUUUUCCCUCAGCUUUUCAUCGCCUCUUCUUCAAUUACAACACUUGCCAGUCGCUUCUCCUCUUCUAUCUCCCUGUCGCCCAAGAUGGACUCUUCCGAAAAUAAGUCGAGCGCUUCUCGGAGACAAGUUGUAGGCCCUUCCACUCCUUCAUUUGUUCUACCAAAGGCACAACCAACAAAAUGGAGUAAAGAGAAAUUCUGUGCGCGGUUCGACCUCUACUCCUCAUGGCUGAUAGUAGUUCGAGGGCUGUUGUUUAGAGUCUUACAGGGCGAGCACGAGGACGUUUGGCGCCUUGAAGAUUCUUCUUUUAUUUAUGUCUUACUUGAUAUUCUGAGACAUAUUGAGACAAUUGAUUUAUUAUUAUUACUUCCAGACUUGUAGAUUCUAGUUAGCUGCUCUUGUAUGACUAGACCAGAUUCUGGGGUGAAUUUCCUUACUUUCGCAUUUUUUCUUAUAUCAUUAUCGUAAGACUUACGUA